GAUGAACGCUGGCGGCGUGCCUAAUACAUGCAAGUCGAGCGAACAGAUAAGGAGCUUGCUCCUUUGACGUUAGCGGCGGACGGGUGAGUAACACGUGGGUAACCUACCUAUAAGACUGGGAUAACUUCGGGAAACCGGAGCUAAUACCGGAUAACAUUUGGAACCGCAUGGUUCUAAAGUGAAAGAUGGUUUUGCUAUCACUUAUAGAUGGACCCGCGCCGUAUUAGCUAGUUGGUAAGGUAACGGCUUACCAAGGCGACGAUACGUAGCCGACCUGAGAGGGUGAUCGGCCACACUGGAACUGCGACACGGUCCAGACUCCUACGGGAGGCAGCAGUAGGGAAUCUUCCGCAAUGGGCGAAAGCCUGACGGAGCAACGCCGCGUGAGUGAUGAAGGGUUUCGGCUCGUAAAACUCUGUUAUUAGGGAAGAACAAACGUGUAAGUAACUGUGCACGUCUUGACGGUACCUGAUCAGAAAGCCACGGCUAACUACGUGCCAGCCGCCGCCGUAA
rnacentral:rRNA from 1 species